AUAAAACACGUUGUUAGUUUUUCUCUGAGUAUACUCAUCGUGUUCGUGUUUAUUUAUCCCGAUCCGAAAGUCCAUCCGCCGGAUAAUUUCAGAUUUUAACAAAAAUAAACGUUUCUGGGUGUUUAACAUUUUUAUUUAUUUGUUGUGCCUGGUGCUUGGGUGUUCAUUUUUAUAAUUCUGUUUUACAAGCACUGAUUUACGAGAUGGCUUACUGUGCUGGUCAUGGUUGCGGAACACCACGUUCGCAAAACAAUAGAACAGCGCGAACUCGUCCAAAUAUACACCCAACAUCCUUCAUCACAGUUCAUAGCCGCUUCAUGAUCACGAGGUACACCAAGCUUAGUUUUAUUGCCAACAGACCUUAGUUCAUUAGGCAGACGGUUAGGUUCAGAGAGCCAGCUAACAUCAUCGAAUUCAACGCACUACAGGCAUGGAGAACAAUUAAGUUCUGAUGACGCACAUCACACCGUUCAGCUCUUUCCAGUGCAUCGGUUUUGCUGAAUAAACUCAACCGCCUAUCGAAUAUGCUUCAAGUAAAAUACUUCACUACUUACCAGGGAAGACACAGAUUUUUGUGUUUUAAAUUCCAUCUCUAUUCCAAUGAACCUGUUAUAUCUGUUCCAGUUGGAGCGUCUGAUAGAAUAAAAAUCUUUUGUAGGAGCAGCCGAAAACUUGUCAAGACAUACCACCAACAUCUGGACAACACGAAUUGUUCAUCGCUACUUUAUGAACACGAGCCACACAGCUAGGUUUUUUUUGCCAACAAUCCGCAGUUCAUGAUGCAGACCAUUAAAGACCCAGCUAGCAUCAUGCAUUCUGAAGGGAAAACACAAUCUAGUUUAUGUAAAUCAAAGCUCUUCGACAUUUUCCCUACUUUUCCCACAAUGUAAGCACUAAUCAGUUAUUGUACAUAUUUAGUAGAUGCCGCUAGUUCCAUUACUUUCGAACCAGCUAACGUCGCCAAUGAUCGUAUCGCAACACGAUGGUAAAGCAGCAGAUUCAUCCAACCCAUAACCGUAGCGUGUACUUCAACAAAUUUCCCAAGAAGCUCUCAUGCUGCAACAAAGAAUCAACGUGCAAAUAGCCUGCUAACAUAAACAAAUUCGACGCACUUUUUCUUCUGUGAAAGCAUUGAACCACUGCGACUACUAUUUUGAUCUAUUGUGAUUGUUCCGUCCAAGAAACGUACGGAAGGGAAAACGCAUCCAAUCGCAAGUACCACCCCUUCUCAUUCGGCACGAAGCGAAGGAGAGUCAAAGAAGCCAUCCGAACGCGCGAAGAUCAGUCUAUUUUCAACCGUAAUGCAAGCCACAUCAGUAGCAGCAAGUGCAGCAGCAUAGUAUCAACAUCGAUAGCAGCAACACUACCAGAAGAAUAGUGGCGCAUUCGC